GUGCCUAAGGUAUGCAAGUCGAACGAUUCCUGUAUCUUCGGAUACAGGGAGUGGCAAACGGCUGAGUAACGCGUAGGAACCUACCCCAAACUCGAGUAUAGCCCCGCGAAAGCGGGGGUAAUCCUCGAUAGCCCGUGAAGUAUUUUACUUCACGGUAAAGCUUUUGCGGUUUGGGAUGGGCCUGCGUCCUAUCAGGUAGUUGGUGAGGUAAAUGCUCACCAAGCCUAUGACGGGUAGCUGGUCUGAGAGGAUGGUCAGCCAGACUGGGACUGCGACACGGCCCAGACUCCUACGGGAGGCAGCAACUAGGAAUUGUGCGCAAUGGACGAAAGUCUGACGCCGCGACAUCGCGUGGAGGAUGAAGGUCUUCGGAUUGUAAACUCCUUUUCUUACCGAACAAGUUCUGAGUGUAGGUAAGGAAUAAGUGCCUGCUAACCACGUGCCAGAAGCAUCGGUAAUACGUGGGGCACGAGCGUUAUCCGGAUUUACUGGGCGUAAAGGGAAGCGUAGGCGGCUCAAUAAGUUUGGUGUUAAAUCUUCCGGCUCAACCGGAAACAAGCACCGAAAACUAUCGAGAUUGAGUCGAGUAGGGAAGAGGGGAAUUCCUGGUGGAGCGGUUAAAUGCGUAGAUAUCAGGAGGAAUACCAAGGGCGAAGGCACCUCUUUGGACUCGUACUGACGCUGAGGCUCGAAAGCGUGGGUAGCAAAACGGAUUAGAUACCCGUGUAGUCCACGCCGUAAACGAUCCCUGUUAGAUGU
rnacentral:rRNA from 1 species